rnacentral:rRNA from 1 species
GACGAACGCUGGCGGCGUGCUUAACACAUGCAAGUCGAACGGAAAGGCCCCUUUGGGGGUACUCGAGUGGCGAACGGGUGAGUAACACGUGAGUAACCUGCCCUUGACUUCGGGAUAACUUCAGGAAACUGGGGCUAAUACCGGAUAGGAAUCCUUGCUGCAUGGUGGGGGUUGGAAAGCUUCGGCGGUUUUGGAUGGACUCGCGGCUUAUCAGCUUGUUGGUGGGGUAGUGGCUUACCAAGGCUUUGACGGGUAGCCGGCCUGAGAGGGCGACCGGCCACAUUGGGACUGAGAUACGGCCCAGACUCCUACGGGAGGCAGCAGUGGGGAAUAUUGCACAAUGGGCGGAAGCCUGAUGCAGCAACGCCGCGUGCGGGAGGACGGCCUUCGGGUUGUAAACCGCGUUCAGCAGGGGCGAAGCUUGUGGUGACGGUACCUGCAGAAGAAGCACCGGCUAACUACGUG